CAAUCUGAAAGCUAACUGCUGAAACCGAACCCGUGAUCCGAACUACAUCAAGUCAUGACAGACAAAACAACAAUACAUAACUGGAAAGAGCAUGAUGAUGAAAAUUGAAAGCCACCGAUCAAUAUGAACUCAAUUUCCAGAAAUCCAAGAAUAAGAUAAUUGAACGCUUAAUGAUCAAACCGAUCUAUUCACUCAACUAGAACAGAUCCAGAGCCUUGAACUUGAUAUCAAAUCCACGAUAUGAGCUACAUCAACAUGACAAGACAUACAGACGAGCAUAAGUAACUGGAAAUAGACAUCCUCAGCAACCGAUCAAGACAUAUACCAAAAUUUAUAGAGAACUGAGCAUAAGAUAACCAAACAAGUAUUAUCAAUUUGAUCCAUGUCGUUCAACCAAAAGGCAUCCAAAAGCAGCAGCUGAAUUCGAAUCCACGAUCGAAACUACAUCAAGUCAUGACAGACAUACAAACAAUAAAUAAUCUGAAACAGAAAUCUUAAGCAACCGAUCAAUAUAAA